rnacentral:rRNA from 1 species
AACGCGUGGGAAUAUACCCUUCACUAUGGAAUAGCCUCGGGAAACUGAGAGUAAUACCAUAUACGCCCUUCGGGGGAAAGAUUUAUCGGUGAAGGAUUAGCCCGCGUAAGAUUAGAUAGUUGGUGGGGUAAUGGCCUACCAAGUCUACGAUCUUUAGCUGGUUUCAGAGGAUGAUCAGCAACACUGGGACUGAGACACGGCCCAGACUCCUACGGGAGGCAGCAGUGGGGAAUCUUAGACAAUGGGCGAAAGCCUGAUCUAGCCAUGCCGCGUGAGUGAUGAAGGUCUUAGGAUCGUAAAGCUCUUUCGCUAGGGAUGAUAAUGACAGUACCUAGUAAAGAAGCCCCGGCUAACUCCGUGCCAGCAGCCGCGGUAAUACGGAGGGGGCUAGCGUUGUUCGGAAUUACUGGGCGUAAAGCGUACGUAGGCGGAUCAGAAAGUAUGGGGUGAAAUCCCAGGGCUUAACCCUGGAACUGCCUCAUAAACUCCUGGUCUUGAGUUCGAGAGAGGUGAGUGGAAUUCCAAGUGUAGAGGUGAAAUUCGUAGAUAUUUGGAGGAACACCAGUG